rnacentral:snRNA from 1 species
AGUCCUAUUGGGUGCUUGCUACUAAAAUUGGAACGAUACAGAGAAGAUUAGCAUGGUCCUUGUGCAAGGAUGACAUACAAAUUCGUGAAGCAUUCCAUUAAGGA